GACGAACGCUGGCGGCGUGCUUAACACAUGCAAGUCGAACGGAAAGGCCCUGCUUUUGUGGGGUGCUCGAGUGGCGAACGGGUGAGUAACACGUGAGUAACCUGCCCUUGACUUUGGGAUAACUUCAAGAAACUGGGGCUAAUACCGGAUAGGAGCUCCUGCUGCAUGGUGGGGGUUGGAAAGUUUCGGCGGUUGGGGAUGGACUCGCGGCUUAUCAGCUUGUUUGUGGGGUAGUGGCUUACCAAGGUUUUGACGGGUAGCCGGCCUGAGAGGGUGACCGGCCACAUUGGGACUGAGAUACGGCCCAGACUCCUACGGGAGGCAGCAGUGGGGAAUAUUGCACAAUGGGCGGAAGCCUGAUGCAGCAACGCCGCGUGCGGGAUGACGGCCUUCGGGUUGUAAACCGCUUUCGCCUGUGACGAAGCGUGAGUGACGGUAAUGGGUAAAGAAGCACCGGCUAACUACGUG
rnacentral:rRNA from 1 species